rnacentral:rRNA from 1 species
AGGGUACGAGCGUUGUCCGGAAUUACUGGGCGUAAAGAGCUCGUAGGUGGUUUGUCGCGUUGUUCGUGAAAUCUCACGGCUUAACUGUGAGCGUGCGGGCGAUACGGGCAGACUAGAGUACUGCAGGGGAGACUGGAAUUCCUGGUGUAGCGGUGGAAUGCGCAGAUAUCAGGAGGAACACCGGUGGCGAAGGCGGGUCUCUGGGCAGUAACUGACGCUGAGGAGCGAAAGCGUGGGGAGCGAACAGG